UGCCAGCGCCGCGGUAAUACGAAGGGUGCAAGCGUUACUCGGAAUUACUGGGCGUAAAGCGUGCGCAGGUGGUGCGUUAAGUCCGAUGUGAAAGCCCUGGGCUCAACCUGGGAAUGGCAUUGGAUACUGGCGUGCUCGAGUACGGUAGAGGGUGGCGGAAUUCCCGGUGUAGCAGUGAAAUGCGUAGAGAUCGGGAGGAACAUCCGUGGCGAAGGCGGCCACCUGGACCAGUACUGACACUGAGGCACGAAAGCGUGGGGAGCAAACAGG
rnacentral:rRNA from 1 species